rnacentral:rRNA from 1 species
UACGUAGGGUGCGAGCGUUAAUCGGAAUUACUGGGCGUAAAGCGUGCGCAGGCGGCCUGUUAAGUCAGAUGUGAAAUCCCCGGGCUUAACCUGGGAACUGCAUUUGUGACUGGCAGGCUAGAGUAUGGCAGAGGGGGGUAGAAUUCCACGUGUAGCAGUGAAAUGCGUAGAGAUGUGGAGGAAUACCGAUGGCGAAGGCAGCCCCCUGGGCCAAUACUGACGCUCAUGCACGAAAGCGUGGGGAGCAAACAGG